GUAGGCCUACGGGACGCAGCAGUCGAGAAUCAUUCACAAUGGGGGAAACCCUGAUGGUGCGACGCCGCGUGGGGGAAUGAAGGUCUUCGGAUUGUAAACCCCUGUCAUGUGGGAGCAAAUUAAAAAGAUAGUACCACAAGAGGAAGAGACGGCUAACUCUGUGCCAGCAGCCGCGGUAAUACAGAGGUCUCAAGCGUUGUUCGGAAUCACUGUGCGUAAAGCGUGCGUAGGCUGUUUCGUAAGUCGUGUGUGAAAGGCGCGGGCUCAACCCGCGGACGGCACAUGAUACUGCCAGCCUAGAGUCA
rnacentral:rRNA from 1 species